rnacentral:rRNA from 1 species
UAGCCGUAAACGAUACUCGCUAGGUGUCGGCCAUGGUGCGACCGUUGUCGGUGCCGUAGGGAAGCCGUGAAGCGAGCCACCUGGGAAGUACGGCCGCAAGGCUGAAACUUAAAGGAAUUGGCGGGGAGCACAACAACGGGUGGAGCUUGCGGUUUAAUUGGAUUCAACGCCGGAAAUCUUACCGGGACCGACAGCAACAUGAAGGCCAAGCUGAAGGUUUUACAUGACUAGCUGAGAGGAGGUGCAUGGCGUCAGUGACU